UAAUGCAGCAACAAGAAACAAAAAGAACCUAGGACAAAAAAUAGACCACAAACAGAGUGGACAUCAGCUUAGAUGUGACAUAACUAUGUCACAUGUAGAUGUGUCCUGACAGACCCUUAAAGAUUUCAACUGGUCAGGCCAUUUCAACUCGGGCAAAAUACAGAGCUUAAGCAGGAUAAAAGUAGUUCCAUAAUCAGCAAAAUAUGAUGGUAUCCCAGGUAGGCUACAAGCAGUAAAUAAUAAUAUCUUUCAACACAAGCGAAAUCUUAAAACAGGCAUCCCGGAGUCACAUGCUAGCUUGCAAAAACAACGAGACGUCAUAAACCCUAGGUACCCUAGACCCUUCUCCCGUCGGCGGCAACGGGUGUCAUCGUCGUCAUCCCCCGCUUAGAAUCCGAGCUUGGUGCGGCGCCAGUGCCUGCGCUUGGCGUUGUACCUGAGACAGCAACGAGACCGCUUAGGGGGGCCGUCUCCUCUUCAUAGAUCCACUACUAGCGCUGGCAGCUAACGGCGGGCGAACCGUGGGAGAACGGAGAAGGUCAUGGCGGCGGAAGGUACCUGAUGGUGUUGUCGGUCCUCAUGCGGAUCCAGUAGGGGAUGGGGCGGUUCUGGCGCUGCUUCUUGGCCAGCUUCUGCUUGAUCCGGAAGGUCUUGUGCGACGGCUGCGGCGGAUUGGAGGCGACGGGUCAGCGAGGAUCCAUGAAGGAGGGAACACGGGGAGAGGAAUCGAAGCAGGGGGAGAGGGAUUCGAGGGAGAGUGAACGGAGAUGCGUACCAUCGUGACGGCGGGGAGGAAGCUGCGGCGGCGGCGGCGCGAGGAAACCCUUGGAUCGGAGGAGGGGGAAAUGGAGGCCGUGAGGGUUUAUAUAGUGGAGAGCAGUGCCGUAUGGGCCUAAUGGGCUCGGCUAGUUCUUUGGAAUGAAAUAUGUCGGCGGACUGACUACUGCGGGUGGGCCUUUGUGUCAAACGUACAGAACUGGGCUUUCAUGGGCCCGCACGUUAUGUCUGUACUCUUCCCUUUUGUGAAAACAGACAUCGAGACUGGGCUUUAAUGGGCUCAUAAUGUUACGUCUCUGAUUCCCUCCUCCGCGUCUCACAAUAACGGCUUCCUCUAGAACCCUCUACAUCUGAGGGCCGCUUAGUACCCGAGCCCAAGCUGACUUCUGGGCCUGGCACUAUGAUCGAAGGGGGCGUGUUUUUAGUUCGGUCUGCAUACCGAUUACUGGCUUCAACAAAACAGCAGAGAACGGACUGGUUGGAACAUGUUCCGGGGCACUCUCAUUGUGAGGCGGACAGGAGAUCAUGGGGUAAACUCUGGAAUCUGAGUAUUCCGUCCAAGAUCAAAGUUUUUGCUUGGCGUCUAGCCAAGACUUCUAUUCCAACUGGAGAUGUCCGGAACCAUAGAAAUAUGACAGAUACACCGGCUUGUUCUAUAUGCAAUGUGGCGAUUGAUACCUGGAGGCACUCGUUAUUUGAUUGCCACAUGCCCCGAUGUGUGUGGGCACUCGCCGAGGAGGAACUGACAGAGGUUGCUAGCUAUUUCAAACCGAACUGAGGAUGCUAGAUUAUGGGUAUUUUGGCUGCUUGAUACCUUACCGGAGAAGGAGGUGGUUCAAAUCUUGGUUACGAUGUGGUCCAUAUGGUGGACGCGGCGGCGUGCUAUUCAUGAUGAUCAGUACCAAAGCCCCAUGAGCACCUCGGUUUUUAUCACAAAGUUUCUGGGAGAUCUUGACUUGAUGGCCGAGAACAAGUUUCGUCCAGCCAAGGACCUGCAUGUGAUGCCUAAGGGCUGCAUGUAACAGCUGAAAAUGCAAGGACCAAAGCAACCAGGCCGGUAUGGAUUCCCCCAACAGAUUUCGAUGUGAAAAUUAAUGCAGAUGGGGGUGUGUCAAGAUGUGGCAGGAGAGGCGCUGCAGCGGUCAUUUGCCGUGAUAAGGCAGGAGCUUUCUUGGGAGCUUCAGCAAGAGUUUUUGAAGGCCUUACGGACCCGCCCUCGCUAGACGCACAAGCAUGCAAUGAAGCCCUUGCCUUGGCUACGGAUCUCAAAUUGAAUGUUGUAUGUGUGUCACCGGACUGUAUUGAAGUGAUCUCCAAGAUCGGGACUAAAGCUCCAUGCCACUAUACGUCGAUAUUGCGUGAGAUUAGUUAUCACUCUACUUAUUUUCAGGAUAUUCGUUUCGUUCAUGAGAGUGGGAAGUUAAAUUUUGAAGCUCAUUCUCUUGCGAAAGCUGCAGUUUCUUUGCCUAGCGGGCGCCAUGUGUGGCUUGUAACUACGCCUGAUAUCAUAUGUAUCCCUAUGAAAAUCCAAAUUUAAUAAAGUUCACAGAUGCUCAAAAAAAAACAAUAACGACUUCCUCUACAUGGACUGCAAAGUCAUUUUGUGAGGUAGCGGUGCCUACCGGUACAUUGGGCACCACACACUUGUUUAAAGAUUUGUACUAAUCUAUAUAGCAUGUAUAUUUCUUGUACGUGACUAGGGAGCAAAUGUGUGCUCCCUAGCAUCCCUGACAUACACUCCGUUUUAGGAAAAGCUUUGUCUUUCUCCCACCAAAAAGGUAAAUUGACAUGUUUGGUCCCUCCUGGUGCCAGCAAGACCGAUACCACCUUCUCCUUCUCCUCCNNNNNNNNNNNNNNNNNNNNNNNNNNNNNNNNNNNNNNNNNNNNNNNNNNNNNNNNNNNNNNNNNNNNNNNNNNNNNNNNNNNNNNNNNNNNNNNNNNNNNNNNNNNNNNNNNNNNNNNNNNNNNNNNNNNNNNNNNNNNNNNNNNNNNNNNNNNNNNNNNNNNNNNNNNNNNNNNNNNNNNNNNNNNNNNNNNNNNNNNNNNNNNNNNNNNNNNNNNNNNNNNNNNNNNNNNNNNNNNNNNNNNNNNNNNNNNNNNNNNNNNNNNNNNNNNNNNNNNNNNNNNNNNNNNNNNNNNAAAAGCCUAUCUUAUUCCCUUUCAAUCUUCUUCCUCCCAGAUCUAGUUCGAUAGCUACAACGUCAUUAGCAUACACUAAGAGCUGCAGAAAAAAACAAAAGAAGUCUAAUCAAACUUUGACUUACAUGUACCCCUGCACACUCAUGCCUAACCAAAAGAAGUUCCUGUCCAAGAGGAAGAAAACAUGGUCUAGCAAAAAAAUUGUGUUGCUCAGAGGUUUAUAUAACUCCCAUAUCAUUCCUAGGUUUGGCAAGUAGUGUUCUAACAAAAAGCAAAUUGCAUAGUAUAUCCAGGCAACUCCAAGUUUUGUUUAUAAAAAGGAUUAAGAGGAAGCAACUUGUACUGUAAUUGUAGGCAAUUUUCAUAUAUUCUGCAGUAAACUCAUUAGCUUGCUUGCCGAAGAAAAAUAAAAAAAGUUGAGCAACUACUACUAGGUUUGUAGCCAAUAUGCCUACAAGUUUCACGCAAAAGAAUGUGGACCUACAAUUUGGGGAACAUCAAGUUGUGCUAUGUCCCGUUGGCAACAUGCAUUAGUGGUUGCAGACAAGUUGUGCUCUGGCCUAAGCAAACUGCAUAAUAUAUCCAGACAAACUCCAGCUUCUGUUUAGAAAAAGGACUGAAAAGGUAGCAACUCGUACUAGGUUUGUAGGCAAUUUCCAUAGAUUAUGUAGUCAACUCAUUAGCUUGCUUGCCGAAAGAAAAAAUGAAAUAGUGGAAGUCAGGAGCAACUACUACUUGGUUUGUAGGCAAUUUUCCUGCAAGUUUCAGGCAAAAAAUGUGGACCUAUAUUGUGUGGACGUCUCGAUGAGGAAACAACCUGUAGGAUUUUUGAGUUCUUAAAUACCCUAACCCUAUGGGAGUCAGUUAACUGGUUUGUAACCCAAUGAAAACAGAGUGAAAAGGGUUGGGGCAGGUGGACAUACGCAAUUCCCAUCUAAUUUCGGGAAAAAAAACAAUGACCCAUGUGGGGGGAAGACACUUGUCAGAUCAAACAAAAAAUGAAGGGGAGGCAGAAAAAUAAAAAACUCUCAGGGGUCGUGUGAAGUUUACCUUCUGGUGGAUCUUGAAGCUUCUCUUGCUUGCGAACAAAUACUGGAAUUCUAAAACCAACAAAGUCCUGCCAAGAAUGUAGAAAAAUAGCAUAUGAUUUUCAGCCUAAAACUCCAUUUUUUAAAUUACUUACACUAGUAGAAAACAUGGCUUUGGUUCGGCCAGAAAAAAGCAUUAAUCCCGGUUGCAUUACGAACCGGGACUAAUGUAAGCAUUAGUCCCGGUUCGAGCGGCUAGGGCACCGUACAUGCAUUAGUCCCGGUUCAAAUGGGACCUUUAGUCCCGAUUGGUGCCAGGAACCGGGACUAAAGGGUGCGAUGCCCAUUAGUACCGGUUCGUGGCACCAACCGGUACUAAAGGUUAGACCUUUAGUCCCGGUUCGAGCCACCAACCGAUACUAAUGGGGUUUGAGGCAUUAGUACCGGUUCAUGGCACGAACCGGUACUAAAGGUCCAUUUUCAAACUCUACCCCCCCUUGGAUCGCCUUUUCAGUUUUGUAAAAAGCAAAAGAAAAUGAUAAAAAUUUCAAAAAUUAAAAUCCUUCCGGAUGUAGUUAUGUUACUACAUGUACUAGUUAGGAAAAUUUAAAAACUUACAUUUGGACAUGUUUUGCAAAAAGUGUAGGGAAAAUGUAAAACGGCUAUAACUUUUGCAUACGAUGUCAGAAAAAAACGUAUAAUAUAUUAAAAUGUUCAGCACGAAAAUCCGCAUCCGAUUUUGACACCCUAUGGCCUGUUUGCAAACUUUUAGAAUCCUCAAAUUCUAAAAGGAAAAAAAGUUAUGCUCAAAUUUCAGUUUUUUUUGAAUUUUUGUUAAAUCUGGUCAAACUACUUAUUCAAGAAGUAUUAGUGUUACUAAAUAAUUAUUCAAGAAUAUUAGUGUUACUAAAUAAUUAUUUUAGUUUUUUUGAAUUUUGGUCAAAUAUGGUCAAACUGUGGUCAAACAAUGGUCAAACUAAUUAUUCAAGAAAUAUUAGUGUUACUAAAUAAUUAUUUCAGUUUUUUUGAAUUUUGGUCAAAUCUGGUCAAACUAUGGUCAAACUACUUAUUCAAGAAAUAUUAGUGUUACUAAAUAAUUAUUGUUUUUUAGAACAAUAGUUUCAAACUCAAACAGUGAAAUGUGUGACUUCAUGCUCAAGCUAAAUUCCCGAGGGUUAAUAGGAUUGACAUCUUACUAUUGUCAGGAAAACAACAAGUGCAGACUUGGAAACGAGGGAGAAUAGAACCCGGAAGUUAAGCGUGCUCAGGCUGGAGUAGUGAGAGGAUGAGUAACCGUCCGGGAAGUUAGAUGAUUUGGAAUGAUGAGGGGUGAUUAGAGAUUAGAGGUUAAAUUGAGAAGUGAUGAGGGGUGAUUAGAGAUUAGAGGUUAAAAUAAUUCAGAAAUUUGAAAAUAAAAAAAAAUUCAAAAAAAAUCAUAAAAUUUCCUUUAGUACCAGUUGGUGUUACCAACCGGGACUAAAGGUGGACCUUCAGGCAGCGGCCACGUGGAGGACCUUUAGUCCCGGUUCGUGUAAGAACCGGGACUAAAGGGGGAGGCUUUAGUAACGACCCUUUAGUCCCGGUUCCAGAACCGGGACUAAAGGCCCUUAUGAACCGGGACUAAAGGCCCUUUUUCUACUAGUGUUAGCUCUUUAUGGCUAUGUGAUAUUCUUACCUGUGAAAAGAGUCUAAUGGAUCUUCUUGCUUGGGUAUGGCAUCCUUAGAUGACUCGACCCGAUGCCCCCCUCUCUAAAGUUAACGAGGGCCCUGGAUAACAGUAUUAGUGUCAAGUUGCCUAAUAUCAUCUGUGAAGUUUCCUAUCAUGACUUUCAACCCAAUGCCCCCCUCCCCUAAGUUGUCUACCAUGACUUCCAAGUUACCUAGAAUAACCUUUAUUUAUUUUUUUGCUAUCAUAACUAGUGAGUAUCCUAUCAUUAUCCUAAGUUGCCUACAAAAAAUCUUUUCAAUAUUCUAAGUAACUUAGUUUCAAAGGAAGAUAACCUUAGCAACAACGACGGGCAACCUCUUUACAGUACUAUAGGCAACUAUUUAGCGAGGACAGACAACUAAGGAUAAUCAAUAGGCAAGUAAUUAGAGAAAGGUCAAGGAGCUGAAUAGUCACAUUAGGCUUUUAAAAAUCAAGGAAGUCUAACAAUUGAGCAUGAACCAUACGAGACUUCACCGGCUCUCAGGAGUGGAUCUGUGGGCAAUUCGCACCAGCAUCUCUAGGAACUACCUAUCAUGCGUUGGGCGAGUUUUUGAGUGGAAAAAACACAACGCUCUCGGGAGUGAAUCUCUGGCAACUCGCACCAACAUCUCUAGCAACUACCUAUCACGCGUUGGGCAAGUUUUGGGCGAAACCGCACCACUCACGAGAACAGAUCUCUAGGAAACUCACGCCAUUAUCUUCUGCAUCUAACUAUCGCGUGUUGGGCAAGUUUUUGGGUGCUUCCCUCCGCAAACCCCUCUUCAAUCUCCAUUUGCAUCCUCGGUCAACCUCAUCGCCGUGCAUCUCGCGUUCGUCGACUCCCCCGCAGCCUCGAAGGCCCAUCCCCGAUCGACAAAACCUCGAUUUGUUGGCGGCCUACGGCCGGUGUCAUUGUCGCCGGUUCAAUCCUGAACAACAUCCAUCUCUAUCGACGUAUAGACCAAGUCUUUGGAUAGAUUGUGUAAACUGGGCCAAUUUUUCCCAAUGAAUAACAAUGGGGAUGUCGCAUCUCCGAGUUGACUGCUAGUUGUGUUGUCGUUUUAUCGAUCUUCUAUGGCUACUGUACUAUUGGUACAUGCAAGAAAUUAAUCACAUGUAGGCAACGUUUACCAAGUGAUUAGGCAAAAACUAUUUCUAUGUAGGUUAGUGACCUAGCGAUAUAGCAACUUUCGUGAAUAUUAAAGCACUUUGUUGCUAUAAAAUGUCCUCUUGUACGAUAUGUAACUCCGGUAAAAAAACAUUAAAAUUAGAUUAAAUGAUGGUGUAAGCAACUUGCAAUUAAAUUUGGGCAAAUUUGAAGGGUGACAUGGAAACAUUAUAGGGUUCCAACGCACAUUUUUUCACCAAAAAUCAACACUUCCAUAUCUCAACAGAUCACCUUCUGAUCCAAUAUGUCACUAGAAAAUAGGGUACAUAGAGUCGAUCACAAAAAAUGGUGAACCUUUUAGUAUUAUCGAGUACCGACGCAACUUAUGUGCUAGUACAAAUACUUCCACACGAAACAACACUCCUAAUUCACAACAAAAAUUGAUGGUUAUAUUUACUUAUGAUUCUAAGUUGUAUGACUAUUUUAAUAAAUUGCCUACAAAGGUACGAUGAUGUAGAUUGCGUUGUAACUUCAAUAAAUAUGCUUACUCUAAUAGUUUCAGGCAACUUCACAACCAGUCAGUGCGCAAAAUUAGCAUGAAACACAGGCAACCAAAAAAAUUGUUGAGGCGAAAAACAAAUUUAGGCAAAAUUCGUACUAAUUCCAGGCAAGUUUUGUAGGUUACCUGGAAACACAUGAUAAAGUUUCUUAAUUGUAAACGCGUGGGGGGGGGGGGGCUCCAACAUUGCUAGGCUCUCUUUUUGAGAAUUGUCCUGCAACAAAAAAGACCUGGAAAAACACACAGAGGGACACCUGGUAGAACUGGUACUGCAUCCCACAUACACAGGCUCCCAGGGCAAGUCACAUACAUAGAACAGGCAAUUCAUAUGCAUGGAGAUAAUAAAAAGUUCACAUAUAGAGUUAUUCACAGGGCUGGGUGCACCAUAAAAAUUUCAUCGAUAUACCAAACCCCCGCACAGAUAACAUAUAUAUGCUCUGCUGUUUUUCGGAGAAACACAGGAAAACACACAAAAAGUGUGACUAGCUAUAUUGUUGCUUGUGCAAUUUUUCCGGAAACACAUUUUCCUAGAAGUGGGGGCCUGCGCCCUGCAUCGCUUUUAAAUUGAUGCUUUACUUCUGUCCAUGUUUCCUCUGAUUUCACUUAUUGAACACAAGAUGAAAAAGAAAAUGAAAACUUGUUUAUUGUUUGGCGAAUAUAUACAACAUGAAAAAGGGGAAAACUUUGGUUCUAAUGUUUGUCCCAUCAGUUGCCUAGUGUUGUUGAUUUAGUUGCUUCACAUUUACACAGUAUUUGCUAGUUCCUGCAGGAACAUAUGCUAAACAUUAUGAAGAUAUGCUAGCAUUGUGAGGUUGUGCUGCAGAACUUGGAUCAUGCGCAUCAUUUUGCGUGUGGAAAAUCGCUAAGUUCAGUCAUUAAUCAGAUCGCUCUGUACAACAACCCAUUCCCCUCGCCAUCCCCUCUCCCAAUGAGCCCAACCAAAAGCCAAAUCCAUGUUAGGAAGAAAUCAACACUGAAAUUGACUGAAUCUUGCAACUACUGCACCCAAACCAACACUUGAAUCCCUUGUUUCAGAUUACGUAGCUGCCCAUGGUACACAUAUCUUUUGGCAUGAGCCAUAACCAUGAUGGUAUGAUGGCACGAGCGGUAUGUAGGGGAAAACUUACCCCCGUUCUGUUGGUAUACGAGAAGCGGAGCCAUGAUGAUAUGAUGGUACCACACGUCAAGGUCAACAUCUCUCUGUAGCAAUAUGUAAGCAGCAAUCUAGAAGCACACACAGACGCAUCAAGCACACAUCAGCUACGCACAACGCAGAUGAAUCACCUCACGCAUGCGCACAUCGCACAUCAAGCACGCGGCUCCGGUUGAUGCUGAUGGCCGUGGGGUUCAUCCGCCUCUGCGCUGCCGGAGAGAUGGUGUACGGCGGGGAGCAGACAAACAACUGUAUCCUGAGAUGGAGAGCUCCUGCACCCAUCCAAACUGUGCCCCGCGAGCCACGGAUGCGGCAUGGAGAGGCACCUUGCGAGGGGGCGGCGAGGAAGCCGAUGACGUGGCCGUCAGCCGCGACGACGAGCUAGGGUGGUGCGUCGUGGAUCUGGGAGCGCCGCCGCCUCACCUGCUCGAUCUGGAAGCCCAACAUAGAGGGUAAGUAGAGGGAUGAUAUGGUGGGGGCGGUGGCUGAGCAGAGAGACGGGGGAGGGGCGGCGCAUCGGGAGAUGGGCGCGCGCCGCAUCUGGAGAAGAGCGACAAAGGAAGAGGCGGCUGCAUCGGGAGAGUGAAGGAGAGGAGGUAGGUGGGGUGGCUUCAGAAAUCUGACCGUGUGGCAUCUGGCGCCCUUGAUUUGGAUCUGACGGCGCGCGAGGGUGUGCGCUCAGGACGCCCAAACAACACAAUUGCAGUUUUUAGAAUUUGGAAUAUGUUUUGCAAUAAUUGAAAAAAUAAGCACAUUAGCUAUAUAAAUCGAGUCUGUGAUGGAAGGAAUGCUUACGGUAUCCUACAUAUUAGCUAGCUUGUUUGCGGAAAUCUAAUUUGGCUCUAGGAAGCAUAUGGUCCCGCACGUCCAAAAAUGUGGCUGUGGAAGCUUUCUUUUGAGACUGAUGCCAUGUGGGCCCAAAUCCUUCGCAGCAAGUACCUACAGACAAAGUCCUUGUCCCAGGUCACAGUCAGGCCAACUGACUCGCCUUUCUGGAAAGGCCUGAUGAAAGUCAAACAAUCUCUGUUUUUUAGGACAAAGGUUGUUAUUGGCAACGGCGCUAGUACACGCUUCUAGGAGGAUACUUGGCUCGGCGAGACACUUUUGGCCAUUCAAUAUCCGUCUUUAUAUUGCAUUGUUCAACGACGUGAGGUGUUCGUUGCUACGGUGUUUCAAUCCAUCCCCCUUAAUAUUCAGUUCAGACGGUCGUUAGUGGGCAAUCGUUGGGAAGAUUGGUUCCGUCUAGUUCGGAGACUAAUGGAUGUCCAUCUUUCUCAACAACCCGAUGUAUUACGCUGGAAACUGACUAGGUCUGAAGUAUUCACGGUUAAAUCAAUGUAUAUUGAUGUAAUUAAUUCGAGCUCCAUUCCUACCUCCAAGCACGUUUGGGCUGUCAAAGUUCCUUUGAAAAUAAAGGUGUUUAUGUGGUUUGUCCAUAAACAGGUUAUUUUAACCAAGGAUAACUUGAUUAAGCGUAAUUGGACAGGACCUACGAGGUGUAGCUUUUGUGAUCGGGACGAGACGAUCAAACAUCUCUUUUUUGAUUGCCCAUUUGCCAGAGUACUUUGGAGGACGGUUCACAUUGCUUUUAAUAUUACUCUACCGAAUUCUGUCACUACGUUAUUUGGGACAUGGCUCACUGGGAUUGAGCCUGAAUUAGCGAGACAUAUUCGCGUUGGAGUUUGCGCUUUGUUGUGGACUAUCUGGACUUGCAGAAAUGAUUUGGUUUUUAACAGAGCAUCACGUAUUCACUUUUGGCAGGUUAUUUUCCGAGCCACGGCUGUGAUCCGUUCAUGGUCGCUACUCACUCCGAUGGAGGCCAGGGAGCAUUUGGUUACUGGAUCUAUCCGCUGGGAGAGGGUAGCUCGGGAUAUCUUCAACCGGUUUGGAUGGCAGUCAUGUAAUAGGAUAGGCAAUUAGUUUACCUAUCUAUCUUUAGCCAGCCGGUUGUGGCGUCUUAUCUUGACUAGUCUGUGUGUCCAGCCUCUUUAGCUUUGUGUGAGCUGUCUUUUUAUUACUUUUCAGUCGGAGACUUGGAAACCUUGUUGGAACCUUUUAUUUCGUUAAUAAGAGGGCCGUAUGCAUCACUCUGAUGCAGAGGCCGGGGAGAUCCCCUUUUCAAAAAAAAACGUCCAAAAAUGUAUUUAAAUGUCAAGAAAAGUAGAAAUAUAUAUAUAUAUAUGUGUUCAUUGUCACACCCUAAUGCUACCUUCAAAUUUUUAGUGGGAAAGCUUAAGCAUUUUGAUCUGUACAAAAAAAACAAUUGAACAUCAAAUGUUACCUCCAAAAUGUUAGACAUAAUUCUAAUUAUUUUUCACCGGCGAAGCACUGCUCUUCCAUUUCACAUGAAAAUUAUUAAGCAUGCCUUUUAUACUAUCACGAACAUCUUUAAAAAAAUCAGAAUUUUUUAAAUAUGCAUAAGCUAGUCAAAGCUGGGCUUUUACCUUGGAAGUGACUCGGGGAAAUUAUUUAGCAAGAGCGAAAACUGAUUCGCAAAAAAUGAAAAGGCCAGAGUACUCUCUGUCAGAGAAUGUGCCAGCGCAGCUUAACAUGAAAAUCGAAACAGAGGACACUAAUUAUGAUUAGGGGAUCAUCAAGACAUCAAUAGUAAUACAAGAAUGAAGAAAUAUGCUCUAACGAGGCUACCGUAUACACAAAGCUGUUGGAGACCUCGGGCGAUGACCAUACUAACCUCGAGUUCUUCCCGACACAGCUUAUGCUAAACUAAAAACAAACCCACCCACACACACACGCGGAGAGACAGAGAAGUGAAUGGAGCGGAAACAGAGCAAGCGCAAGGCACGGGGACAGAGCAUGUGCGGAGGCGCGGCUAGUAGGAGAUCUCCAUGGAGAAGUUGGAGUCCAGCAGCUCCUCGAUCAUCUGCUCCACGUACUGCUCCUCCAGGAACCCGCCGCUCCACCCGGCGGCCGCCGAGGCCGCCGCCGC
rnacentral:lncRNA from 1 species